rnacentral:rRNA from 1 species
AUUGAACGCUGGCGGCAUGCUUUACACAUGCAAGUCGAACGGUAACAGGCCUUCGGGUGCUGACGAGUGGCGAACGGGUGAGUAAUGCAUCGGAACGUACCCAGAGGUGGGGGAUAACGCAGCGAAAGCUGUGCUAAUACCGCAUGUGAUCUGAGGAUGAAAGCGGGGGACCGAGCAGCAAUGUUUGGCCUCGCGCCUUUGGAGCGGCCGAUGUCGGAUUAGCUAGUUGGUGGGGUAAAGGCCUACCAAGGCGACGAUCCGUAGCUGGUCUGAGAGGACGACCAGCCACACUGGGACUGAGACACGGCCCAGACUCCUACGGGAGGCAGCAGUGGGAAUUUUGGACAAUGGGCGCAAGCCUGAUCCAGCAAUGCCGCGUGCGGGAAGAAGGCCUUCGGGUUGUAAACCGCUUUUGGCAGGAACGAAACGGUGUCCGCUAAUACCGGGCGCUAAUGACGGUACCUGCAGAAUAAGCACCGGCUAACUACGUG